rnacentral:lncRNA from 1 species
UAGGGUUCUGUGUGUUUUUAGGGUUUUUAUUUGUUUUUGGAUAGGGCCUGCCUUCCAGGGUGCUAGAGUACAGGUAGGCAUUCCCACACCCAGCUGCCAACAAACUUUAAUAAUUCAAACAAUGCACAAGGCAGUCUCUAAACAUGAUAGAAUUAAAGAAUCAAUAUCUUUAAGAUGUUCCCAAACAUCGUGAAACUAAGGAUACAUUGCUAGAUAACCCAACUGUCAAAGAAGAAUUCAAGAGAAAUUAGCAAGUAUUUUGGAUGCAAUGAAAAGAAGCUAGAUUUAAAGUAUUACUUGGAGGGAAAUUUAUAGCACUGAAAUGUCUAUAAUAAAAAGCUCAGAUAUAGAUGAACUCAGCAUCUAUUUUAAGAAACUAGAAAUUUGGAGGAUGUGGGCCAGAAAUCAGUUUCAGUGGGCAAGAGAAACUGGUUCAUGCCAUCUAUUCUGCAGCACGGUGACUGCAGUCAAUAACAAUGUAUUGAGGUAUUGAAAAAUGCUGAGAGUGUGCAUUUUAAGUGUUCUACCACAAAAAAUUGUGAGUGGAUGUUAUGGCUGUGUCUAGAUGCACCCCCAAAGCGUCAUGCAGUCUCAGAUGGGGCUUUUUCAGAGGUGGAUGAAUUAGAGUGUGAGAUUGAUUCAUGGUACAAUGCUAGACCCAAGGGCACUAGGGUUAAGGGUGUGAGUAUUGCCCACCCUAAAUUGUCUGAAUAAGGUGAAAGGGGCAGGCAGAUGCUGUUAAGGUCUCUAGUUGCUUUUGCUACCUUGUGGUGCCAUGAGAUGUUCUCCUCUGCCAUGCCCCUCUGCCAUGUGCCACUCUGCCUUGGAGCCAGCCAACUAUGGACUGAACCCUCUACGAACUGUAAGCUAAACAAACCUUUCUUCCUUUAACUUUGGGUGUCAAGUAUUUUGUCUCAGCAACAAGAGAAAAGUAAAACGAAGGGCUGAGGAUUUAGCUCAGUGGUUCCACCGCCUGCCAGAGUUCAAUCCCCCGGUUCCAAAAAAGAAGGAAAGAAAAGUAAUGAAGACAGUGAAGCAAUACUUAUCCUACUUAUCUUGAUUUAGCUAUUCCGCAAUGUAUACUGAUUUUGAAACAAGUUAUACAUUACAAAUUAUGCAAUUUUUGUCAAGCAAGUUAAUAAAUGAAGUUUUUUUCAGAAAGGAACUAGAAAAAGAAGAGCAAGUAAAACUAAGUAUGGAGGACAAGGAAGGAAAUAAUAAAGCUUUGAGUGGAAAUCAGUGAAAUAGAGAACAAAAAUAUAGAAGAAAAACAAUAAAAUCCAAAGACUUUUUUUCAGAAAAUCAAUAAAAAUGACAAAGUUCUAGUCAGACUGAUCAAGGAAAAAGGAAAGGAAACACAAGUCAUCUAUAUUAAGAAUGGGAGAUUCAGGGGCUGGGGAUUUAGCUCAGGGGCACCCGUGCCUGCCUCGAAAGCACAAGGUCCUGAGUUCAAUCCCCGGUAUGCCUCCCUCCACGAAAAAAAAAAAGAAUGAGAGAUUGGACAUCACAAAUUCUAUGGCUAUGAAGAGAUAAUAAUGGAAUAUUAGGCACAACUCUAUACCAAUAAAUGUGACAAUGUAGACUGAAUGAGCAAAUCCUUAAAAGGCACAGUCUCCUAAAACUCACCCUAGAAGAGACAAAUAAUCUGAAUAGUCCUAUACCUAACAGAGACACUGGAAUUCUCAUCUAAAACUCCAACAAAGAAAACCCUGGGACUGGGGCGUUGGAGCAGGCGGGAAGAGAUCACAAAGGACACUCUGCCCUUUCGGGGUGAGGAGGGCCUGUCCACGACCCUGACUGGUGAGCAGUGGCUCAGGAGCACGUGUGUGUGGCAGCGAGUUGUGCACACUGCACGUGUGCUUUACGGCACCGCAGUGAACCUUCUGACUGGAGGGCCCAGGCCCUUCCCCGCCCUCCUCUCCCCUGCCUACAGCUCUCGGGACCCAAGCAGAGGCACAGCAGCCAGUCCCGAGGACACGGAGACAGCAAGGAGCCACCUGCUGGCCUGCAGCUUCCCUCUGACCACCCUCCGCUGGAAGCUAGAGGACGCAGUGGCCCUGGAGCCUGCCCAGCCCUCACCCAGACCAGGCUGCGCGGCCCUGCAUGGACUCAGACACAGGGCACUCCUGGGAGGGGCCGAGGCUCGGCUCCCCUGGGCAGGGAGGCACUGCCUGCCUCCCAAAGCCACAGGUGCAGGGUGGGCCCUCCUUUCCAAGCUCUUCUCCCUUGCCGCAAGCUGCUGCCGAAGACAGGCGCAGAUUCCAGCUCCUCCGUGUUCCAGCCUGGGCCUCUGCGUUGAGUGAGUCACCAACUGAGCAUACUGGCUGAGCAACUUUAAUGACGACCAGGAGAAUCGGGCUUCAGAGAGACAGGCUUUCCUCCCAUGGGAAAGGAGUUGGUCAGUGUCUGAGCGGGGAGAGUGAUGUGCACCAUGCGCUAGUCCAGGGUGAGGAGGCCCGUCCUCACAGCUCACCCAGCACUGAGGAGCUCCCCAACGUGAGACUUGCAGGGGAGCCUCGGCAGACAGCUGGCCAGUCAUCCAGGGCCGAGUAGGCUGAUGGUGUCCCGGCACCACGAAGAGGGGCAGAGGAAGCCAAGUACAGGACGUCGAAGCCUCCCCCAGUCACAUCUCCUAGGGGAGCUGAGUCGGUGGGGGCGGGGGAAGUGGACCCUGGCCAGGGUCUCCCUGACCCAAAGGAAUGGACAUGGGACCUUCCCCAUCUUCUGUCUGGAGAGACAGGGAGGCUGGGCGUGCAGCAGGAUGUGGUGCCCGGAAGUUCCAGUCAGCUGUCUGCUGAGUAGGGGCCGCCUGUCCUCCCAGCAGCCCCAGGGACCUCCAGGGCUUUCCAGUUUGCUUCACAGGGAUCCUCCAGGCCCCUCCCUACUGACAGUCCCACCGCUAGCUCUGCCCCAGACAAGCUCUCUGCAGCCCGUGCAGAGGAAGAUGAAGAGGAAGAGGAAGGUAUUCCCAAAGCACAAGGGACUCGCCAGUGUCACCUGCUUGUGGGUGGCAGGGCUGGGGUUUGUCCCACUGUGGGCUCAGCCCCCAGGACCAAGGCAGGGAGGGAAAGUGGGGUGAGGUCUUCUGCCUCUCUACAGCCCCCCCCCCCCAGCAGCAGCCCACAACCUCCAGCCCGGAAAGGGCGCACGCAGCAGGAGGAAGCCAGAGCCACUGGAAUGGGGUCCUUCAGUGUCUGGCCCAGCAGCCUGCUCCUGCCUGCACCCCAGAGGUGUCCUUCUCCCCAGCAAUGAGAAAGCUGGCGGCAAGAGCAGAGGGACCGGGCACUGGGGAGAGUCUGGGAUGCCCUCACAUUCCUGCUUGUCUGGGGAGGGAAGGGAAGGGAGAUUGGCUUGGGAGGGUCAGACCAGGGGGACGGCCCCGGGGGAAAAGCGCGACCGGUCGCAGGAACACAGGUUGCUGUGGAAUGUGUUUAUCUUCAUCACCCUAGAGUGUACAUGUCCGCACCAUCUGGAGAAGGGACACACCUGUGAACCCCACCCGAGCCCCUCGCCACGCCGGCCAGGUACAAGGACAACAUGGUGUGAGAUGAAAACUGCCACCAAGGGCCCACAGCAGCCUCAGGCAGCUGGGCUGCAUUGCUGCUGAGACCCCUGGGCACCAGACCACCUGGCAUGGGCUGUGCUGCCCACGGCCCCAAGCUCUGCAGCCAGCGCCUGAAAGGUGACCACAGUGGCACUGCCAGGCGAUGGGGCACCUCUCCCUCCAGCUGGUGGCCAGCACCAGGCUGCCAGCCUUCCCCAGAUUCUGCGUAUCAUCACGUGGGGUGCAGAGGAAGAAGGCAGUGGGAAAUGCCCUAGCAGGCCUCAAAGCCAGGCCUGUCCCCCUGCCCAGGUGGCCCACCAGCUCCCCACAACACUGGGCCAAGCUCCCAGAAUCCCGGAGGGUGCAGCUGGGCCAGCGGGCAGUCAGCACCACGCCCAGGAGGGCAGGACAUGGCUUGCUGGUGGUGAGGAUACAAUGGCCCUUUGCUGGGUGCCACCCAGGUCCACCUGGAGCCCUGCAUCAGUCUGUCCCAGGCCUCUCCCGUGGGAGCUUCCCACCUACCAGGGCAGCCGGCCAUCCCACGAGGGACUCCGGCCAUAUCUGGUCUGCAGGCCUGCGGGCUCCCAGUGUCUCCUCAGCCCACCUCUGGCCCUCGGUGGGGUCCUUCAACAGCACGCGCUGGCCCCCUGCCUCCCCUGGCCGCGCGCCCCGCAUCCUCGGCGACAGGAGUGGCUCCUCGGUGGAUCCCCAGUCCUCUCCGGAGCAGGAGGGCGCGGCCGUCCCCAGCUCUCAGGAGGCCCGGGGCGAGGAGCUUCCUUUACCCCGCUGGGAACCCAGCGGAGUUUCGACAGGGGUGGGGCCCCGGGAGGAGGGUGACGAGGGCAGGCGUCUCCAGGCCUGCGACGCUCCGGCGUAGGCGAUAAGGCGCCCCCGCCCCGCGGUUCCCACAGCCCGAGGGGCCACGCCCGCUGCGCUCUGCUGUGGCUCUGGCUCUCGGGCGGCGCGUCCCGGUGGCCUCUCUCCGGUGGCCUCUCUCUCCGGCGCGCCCCGCUCCGACCUUGUGAGCCGCGAGCCGCCGCGAGCCGCGAGGAGGACGUCUGGGGGCCGCUGUCGCCGCCGCCGGGCGCGCCGGGUCUAGUGGUCCUAAACAUUUCACAAUUGCGCUACAGAACUGUUGAACUGUUAAGAACCACUGGACCCAGCGGGCAAGUCGGCCGACCUCGGCUGGCGCUGUGGAGAGAAGCCUGUCCGCCCUUGGACCGCGUGCGUCGCGAGAGUCGGGGCGACCGCGCCUGCAGGGCCGGAGCGGCGCUGCACACACCGAGCGUCCCGC